UUUGUACACCUUCCUCUUACCCUGAGUUCCUCUAGUGUUAAGUUGUGCUGUACAAUUACUUGUGGUCUCUCGCUCACGUACACUUCACUUUAUCUGACAUUCCAGUACAUCAUCGUUCACUGGGCUUGUGUGUGUAUCUAAAACCCUAAAGAGGACCUGGAUAUACUCACCUUCCAGAGAGAUGAAAAUUUCAGAGAAGUUACCACCAUGAUAUGGAUGCAUGUCAGAUUGUUGCUAAGUGGAAUAGCUGUAUGAAAUAAUUUUAGGAUGCCUAGGAGUAUUGGCUCAAGGGAAAAUCAGCAGUUAGUAGGAAGUCAAGGGCCGAAAAUGAAUUCUACUGUAGCACUUGAUCAUUUUAUGUUGGAUAAAGAAUGACAAGAAAAAUGAGGCUGCUGAAGACUGGAAUGGCGAUUGAGAUAUUGUGUGCAACCCUCUUGAAAUAGAGGAGCCUGAGACAAGUUGAUGAUACUUACAAGAACUCAUGAGCUGAAAACUUCGAGAAGAGCGAUCUUACCCUUGAGAGUUGUAAUUUUUGUGGGAUAAAUAGAUUGGUUUGGAAUGUACAUAAAACUGAAUUUCUGAAUGAUGAGAAAGCAAGGCAGAGAGCAAAGAGUAUUAACCCACUGACUUUAGGGAACUGCUUUUCUUCAUACUUACAGGGUUAUAAGGUAAAAUUUUGUUCAGCAUGCAUUAUUUCCUGUACAGGGCCAAGCUGAAGCCUUGAUUGCUACAGUAUAUAAAUUAAUUUGAGAUAAUUUAUCCUUCUGUCUAAAUAUUUAGAGAGUUAUUAUUCAGUUCCACCAAUUCACUAGUCCUUGCAGAAUUAUGAAUAGGAAUUGUACAUUGGGGUUUUGAGGAGAGAAAGUAGAAAAGAUGUAAUGUAUUUGUAGUUAUUUAGAAGAGACUAACUGAAACUGAAGGGUAACAAAUUGUUUUUUUGAACUAGAACAAAUAACUGGAUCCUUCUCCUUCUCCCAGGGCCUUCAAGUUUCUCUAUCUUCUGAUUUACAAGGAGAGAAAUUCUGGAAGACUUCCCAGGACUGAGGUUCAGGAAUAUGAGGGGUUUCUUCAGUUUAAGAGAGUCACAAAGAUUUUAUUUGCAAUUGUAGUAUGCUCUUCAAAUUUUCUUUUAAUUUUGGCAUUAAAGUUUGUAAUAAAUGUC